AAAUCGUACCCCAAACCGACACAGGUGGUCAGGUAGAGAAUACCAAGGCGCUUGAGAGAACUCGGGUGAAGGAACUAGGCAAAAUGGUGCCGUAACUUCGGGAGAAGGCACGCUGACACGUAGGUGAAGUGAUUUACUCAUGGAGCUGAAGUCAGUCGAAGAUACCAGCUGGCUGCAACUGUUUAUUAAAAACACAGCACUGUGCAAACACGAAAGUGGACGUAUACGGUGUGACGCCUGCCCGGUGCCGGAAGGUUAAUUGAUGGGGUCAGCGCAAGCGAAGCUCCUGAUCGAAGCCCCGGUAAACGGCGGCCGUAACUAUAACGGUCCUAAGGUAGCGAAAUUCCUUGUCGGGUAAGUUCCGACCUGCACGAAUGGCGUAAUGAUGGCCAGGCUGUCUCCACCCGAGACUCAGUGAAAUUGAACUCGCUGUGAAGAUGCAGUGUACCCGCGGCAAGACGGAAAGACCCCGUGAACCUUUACUAUAGCUUGACACUGAACAUUGAGCCUUGAUGUGUAGGAUAGGUGGGAGGCUUUGAAGUGUGGACGCCAGUCUGCAUGGAGCCGACCUUGAAAUACCACCCUUUAAUGUUUGAUGUUCUAACGUGGACCCGUAAUCCGGGUUGCGGACAGUGUCUGGUGGGUAGUUUGACUGGGGCGGUCUCCUCCUAAAGAGUAACGGAGGAGCACGAAGGUUGGCUAAUCCUGGUCGGACAUCAGGAGGUUAGUGCAAUGGCAUAAGCCAGCUUGACUGCGAGCGUGACGGCGCGAGCAGGUGCGAAAGCAGGUCAUAGUGAUCCGGUGGUUCUGAAUGGAAGGGCCAUCGCUCAACGGAUAAAAGGUACUCCGGGGAUAACAGGCUGAUACCGCCCAAGAGUUCAUAUCGACGGCGGUGUUUGGCACCUCGAUGUCGGCUCAUCACAUCCUGGGGCUGAAGUAGGUCCCAAGGGUAUGGCUGUUCGCCAUUUAAAGUGGUACGCGAGCUGGGUUUAGAACGUCGUGAGACAGUUCGGUCCCUAUCUGCCGUGGGCGCUGGAGAACUGAGGGGGGCUGCUCCUAGUACGAGAGGACCGGAGUGGACGCAUCACUGGUGUUCGGGUUGUCAUGCCAAUGGCACUGCCCGGUAGCUAAAUGCGGAAGAGAUAAGUGCUGAAAGCAUCUAAGCACGAAACUUGCCCCGAGAUGAGUUCUCCCUGAGACUUUAAGUCUCCUGAAGGAACGUUGAAGACGACGACGUUGAUAGGCCGGGUGUGUAAGCGCAGCGAUGCGUUGAGCUAACCGGUACUAAUGAACCGUGAGGCUUAACCUUAC
rnacentral:rRNA from 1 species